AGUGAACGCUGGCGGUAGGCCUAACACAUGCAAGUCGAACGGCAGCACAGUAAGAGCUUGCUCUUACGGGUGGCGAGUGGCGGACGGGUGAGGAAUACAUCGGAAUCUACUUUUUCGUGGGGGAUAACGUAGGGAAACUUACACUAAUACCGCAUACGACCUACGGGUGAAAGCAGGGGAUCUUCGGACCUUGCGCGAUUGAAUGAGCCGAUGUCGGAUUAGCUAGUUGGCGGGGUAAAGGCCCACCAAGGCGACGAUCCGUAGCUGGUCUGAGAGGAUGAUCAGCCACACUGGAACUGAGACACGGUCCAGACUCCUACGGGAGGCUGCAGUGGGGAAUAUUGGACAAUGGGCGCAAGCCUGAUCCAGCCAUACCGCGUGGGUGAAGAAGGCCUUCGGGUUGUAAAGCCCUUUUGUUGGGAAAGAAAAGCAGCAGGUUAAUACCCCGCUGUUCUGACGGUACCCAAAGAAUAAGCACCGGCUAACUUCGUG
rnacentral:rRNA from 1 species